rnacentral:rRNA from 1 species
UACAGAGGUCCCAAGCGUUGUUCGGAUUCACUGGGCGUAAAGGGCUCGUAGGCGGUUUGUCGCGUCGGGAGUGAAAACUCAGGGCUUAACCCUGAGCCUGCUCCCGAUACGGGCAGACUAGAGGUAUGCAGGGGAGAACGGAAUUUCCGGUGGAGCGGUGAAAUGCAUUGAGAUCGGAAAGAACACCAACGGCGAAAGCACUCUGCUGGGCCGACACUGACACUGAGAGACGAAAGCUAGGGGAGCAAAUGGG